AACAACAAAAAGAAAAAAAAAAAACCACAAAGUUUGGUAUUGAUAACUGCCAUUAUUGGCCGUUAAGUAAUGGACAUUAUUGACGUGAGUACAAAGUCCUUUUUAUUUUGGAGCAAAGCGGUAGAUAGCUUGUUUUCUUUCUAGUUUCUACAUUUCCCUUUUUGUUUCUCUCAAAUUUCCAUUUCAAAUUCUUCAUGUUUUAUAAAUUUUUAUUUCUUGAGCUAAGAUCAUCAAUUAGUGGAGGUUUAUUUGAAGUGAAGGAAAGCAAUUAAUCACACUUCUACAUCCAUAUUUUGCAAAGGGAUAUAUCCAGAUGCCUACUCU
rnacentral:misc_RNA from 1 species